rnacentral:rRNA from 1 species
AUUGAACGCUGGCGGCAGGCCUAACACAUGCAAGUCGAGCGGAUGAAGGGAGCUUGCUCCUGGCUUCAGCGGCGGACGGGUGAGUAAUGCAUAGGAAUCUGCCUGGUCGUGGGGGAUAACGUACGGAAACGGGAGGUUAUCCAGUAUCCGAUAUGAGGGAGAGAGUGGGGGAUCUUAGGACAUAACGCUAACAGCUGCACGUCGAUCGGAUCAGCGGGUUGGUGGGGUAAAGGCCUAGCAAGGCGCCGAUCCGUAACUGGUCUGAGAGGAUGAUCAGUCACACUGGAAGUGAGACACGGUCCAGACUCCUACGGGAGGCAGCAGUGGAGAAUAUGGGACAAGGGGCGAAAGCCUGAUCCAGCCAUGCCGCGUGUGUGAAGAAGGUCUGCGGAGUGUAAAGCACUUUAAGGUGGGAGGAAGGGCAGUAAGUUAAUACCUUGCUGUUUGGACGUUACCAACAGAAUAAGCACCGGCUAACUUCGU